rnacentral:rRNA from 1 species
UAUCUUGCCAUAGUCCGACAACAUUCGACACAGAGAAAGUGAGGAGAGAUCUGUUCUAUCCAAGGCGCUGCCAGCCUACCAGGCACAACAUAUUAUGUCACUAUUUAUCUCCCUAUAGUUAUAUUAUGUUAAUAUACACUCUGUAUACUGUAUACUGUGGACUAAGGAUGUAUUGUGCUUCAACAUAUUCUUAAAAUGUUUAUAGUAUAACCAAGGACAAUGAAGAAAAAUAUGUAAUAAAAAACAUAGCGUGAUAGUGAUUAAUAAAAAAAAAAAGAAAAUGCAAAUGUCCCGUCAUCUAAUUAGUGACGCGCAUGAAUGGAUUAACGAGAUUCUUUCUGCCCCUAUUUACGAAACUAUGGGAUCUCUUGGAUGAACACAGAUGUGCCGAAACCUUCACCUUUUCGUGGUACUACAAACAUUGAUUUUUGCUUAAGUCUCUGGCUUGAGUGGCACAGUCAAUGGCAAAGAAAGGUUUAAGGCUUGCUAUCUAUAACCGAGGUGACUGGUUUUUCUCUUAGAAGCCUAAGAGUUCUAAUCGGAAGAGGCUCCCUUCUAUAACGAAAAAGAGUAUUUCUUUUCUCAUUUGGUUCUCUUUAAUGGAAGUCAUCAAAUUGAAAUAUGGCCAGCGAUUUUAGAGAGGGCUGGGGCACAGUUGGGUGUGUGCUGUGUGAUGACAACCUUGGGAGCAUUAUUUCUUUGCGAAAGGAUAGUGAGUGAAUUGGCCUACCGGGACGUGUGGAAUGUCCAAAGGAAAGAGUGUACAGUAUGAGAGUACAAAAAAUUUGUAUAGCUGUAUAAGUUCUAGAGUGAACGAUAAACCAUUAAGUUAAAAGCUGUUCGCGGGGGUCAGGUUGCCCAAAAGUAGGAUUGCUUCUGGCAGGAAAAUGCACACUACCCAGCUGACUGCCGGAAAAAUGCCUUUUUGCCUGACUGCAUGGGUACGGACCUUCAAGGAGUAUUCGUGGUGGCUGUGGUUGCCUCAAAGGUUCGCGGGGAGCUAACUAAGACGUGCUUAGAUAGGUCUCGACGUAAACCAUUAAUCGAGCAAAUAAAGCACGUCCAUUUUCUAUUGCUUUACCUCAGGGUAGCAAGGCCCCCUUCAUUGGGGAUUGUCUUUCUUCAUGGGAGUCCACAAUCGACUGAAUUUGAUUGCCGAUGCUUGUAGGCAACCCGUCUGAUCAAGGCUUCACGUCGAAUACGGACGUUAAACUCCUACAGAAAUCUGUCCCUAUCUACUAUCUAGCGAAACCACAGCCAAGGGAACGGGCUUAGAAAAUUUAGCGCGGAAAGAAGGCCCUGUUGUGCUUGACUCUAAUCUGGCAGUGUAAGGAGACAUAAGAGGUGUAGAAUAAGUGGGAGAUAUUGUUCUUUCGGGUUUAUUAUCACCAAUGAAAUACCAGUACUCUUAUUGUUUCCGUACUUGAUUAAGUGGAACGUGUAUCAUUACUUCGCCAUUAUAUGGAUAUUGAUCAAAGUACUAAAGAGUUUCUUAAAUAAUUGUAAACAAAUUUUAAUGAGAUUGUUUGGCAUUUCUAUGCUUAUUCAAUCAAUAUUUAGAAUUUGGUGUAACUCCCAAUACUCAGGUAUGAUCCAAUUCAAUAGCAUUGCCAGUUAGGGAGUUUGCCUGGGGGAAAGCUGUUCCAAAGCUAGCUCAGAAACCAAACAUAGAGCAAAACGGCAAGAGCUGACUUGAUCUCGUUGUUCGGUACACACAGGGACACCAAAAGCUCGGCCUAUGAUUUAAGGAGUUUUUAAGAGUUUUUACCGCAGAGAUAAGUGGCUUGUGACGGCCAAGCAUUCAUAGCGACGACGCUUUGUGAUCCCUUCAUGUCGGCUCUUCCUAUCAUUGUGAACCAAAAUUCCCCAAAUGUUGCAUCACAGAUGCAAGGGAACGUGAGCUGGGUUUAGACUGUCGUGAGACAAGUUAGUUUUACCCUACUAAUGGAAAUAUAUUGUUACUACAGCAAUCCUGUGUAGUAUGGAAGGAACCGCAGUUAUGGACCAAAGGCACAAUACUUACUCGAGCGAACAGUGGUAUGACGCCACGUCCGUUAGAUUAUGCCUGAACGCCUUUUAUAGUCUUGUCCUGCUUUUUUCCACGCGUCAUUGAGAGUGCAUAGAAAGGACUGUCAAUGAAAUCCAAAAAUAUGAGCUUUUUACAAUAAUUGUAUUCGAAGUAUUUCUUAUACCUAUUAUUAAUUAUUAUUAUUAUUUCUUAAAUUUUUUUUUUUUCUUAUAAUGAACACGUACUUCUUCUUCUAAUCAAGACUUUAAAGAAUCUAACCUACAUUCCGUUGACAACUUAUUUGU